UAGACAGGAAGGAGAGCACUGUGGAG
rnacentral:piRNA from 1 species